rnacentral:rRNA from 1 species
AUUGAACGCUGGCGGCAUGCCUUACACAUGCAAGUCGAACGGCAGCACGGGGCAACCUGGUGGCGAGUGGCGAACGGGUGAGUAAUGCAUCGGAACGUACCUUUCAGUGGGGGAUAACGUAGCGAAAGUUACGCUAAUACCGCAUAUUCUGUGGGCAGGAAAGCAGGGGAUCGCAAGACCUUGCGCUGAUUGAGCGGCCGAUGUCAGAUUAGCUAGUUGGUGAGGUAAAGGCUCACCAAGGUGACGAUCUGUAGCGGGUCUGAGAGGAUGAUCCGCCACACUGGAACUGAGACACGGUCCAGACUCCUACGGGAGGCAGCAGUGGGGAAUUUUGGACAGUGGGGGCAACCCUGAUCCAGCCAUGCCGCGUGAGUGAAGAAGGCCUUCGGGUUGUAAAGCUCUUUCGGCCGGGAAGAAAUCGCACGGGCUAAUACCCUGUGUGGAUGACGGUACCGGAAUAAGAAGCACCGGCUAACUACGUGCCAGCAGCCGCAGUAA